ACGGGGCGCAGCAGGCGCGAAAACUUUACAAUGCGGGNAACCGUGAUAAGGGAACUCUGAGUGCCCGUAAAAUCGGGCUGUCCAUCAGUUUAAAUAACUGGUGAAGAAAGGGCCGGGCAAGACCGGUGCCAGCCGCCGCGGUAAUACCGGUGGCUCGAGUGGNGGCCACU
rnacentral:rRNA from 1 species